rnacentral:rRNA from 1 species
UACCAUGGCAGUAACGGGUAACGAAGAAUUAGGGUUCGAUUUCGGAGAGGGAGCAUGAGAAACGGCUACCACAUCUAAGGAAGGCAGCAGGCGCGUAAAUUACCCAAUCCUGACUCAGGGAGGUAGUGACAAGAAAUAGCAAACCGGGAACCUCAUGGUUUCACGGUAUUGCAAUGAGAACAAUUUAAAACCCUUAGCGAGAAUCAAGUGGAGGACAAGUCUGGUGCCAGCACCCGCGGUAAUUCCAGCUCCACUAGCGUAUAUUAAAGUUGUUGCAGUUAAAAAGCUCGUAGUUGAACCUCUGUCUGGGGCUAGUUUUGGCUUUGGUCAGGCUAGUUCUAGGCAUCCGCCUACAAGACUUAGAGGGCAUUCAGUUGUUCACUAGGAGGAGUAGGCAUUUUACUUUGAAAAAUUAGAGUGUUUAAGGCAGGCAAUCGCCCGCAUAUAUUAGCAUGGAAUAAUAGAAUAGGACACUUUUCCAUUUCGUUGGUUAUUGGAAUCGUGUAAUGAUUAAUAGGGACAGUUGUGGGCAUUUGUAUUUAAUUGUCAGAGGUGAAGUUCUUGGAUUUAUUAAAGACAAACUAACGCGAAAGCAUUUGCCAAGGAUGUUUUCAUUAAUCAAGAACGAAAGUUAGGGGAUCAAAGACGAUCAGAUACCGUCCUAGUCUUAACUAUAAACUAUUCCGACUCAAUGUUUGACUGGCUUAUAUAACCAGUUGAGCGUUGUAUGAGAAAUCAAAGUCUUUAGGUUCUGGGGGGAGUAUGGUUGCAAAGCUGAAACUUAAAGGAAUUGACGGAAGAGCACAACCAGGAGUGGAUUCUGCGGCUUAAUUUGACUCAACACGGGGAAACUUACCAGGUUAAAACAAUAGUGGGAUUGACAGUUUGAGAGCGCUUUCUUGAUUGGUUGGGUGGUGGUGCAUGGCCGUUCUUAGUUGGUGGAGUGAUUUGUCUGCUUAAUUGCGUUAACGAACGAGACCUUAACCUGCUUACUAGACUGGCGAUCAUCAAUCGUUAGCUCUUCUUAGAGGGACUUUGGUUGUUUUAACUCCAAGGAAGUUUGAGGCAAUAACAGGUCUGUGAUGCCCUUAGAUAUCCUGGGCCGCACGCGUCAUACAAUGACUAGUUCAGAAAGUUUUCUCCUGACCCGAAAGGGGAUGGGUAAUCUUGAUAAUACUAGUCGUGUUAGGGAUCGAUCUUUGCAAUUAUAGAUCUUGAACGAGGAAUUCCUAGUAAGUGCGGUUCAUCAGACCGUACUGAUUACGUCCCUGCUCUUUGUACACACCGCCCGUCGCUUCUACCGAGUGGGUGGUCCGGUGAGAUAAUUGAACUUCGCAGGUAACUGAGAGGAAAGAUUAUCAAACCUAUCCACCUCGAGGAAGAAGAAGUCGUAACAAGGUU